AAGGAUCAUUAUCGUAAAACUGAGGCGCGAGGGCUGUCGCUGACUUUUUGUCGUGCACGCCCGAGUGCUCUCAAACAAUCCAUCUCACCCUGUGCACCACCGCGUGGGUCCCCCUUCUGGCUCGUCCCGAAGGGAGGCUUGCGUUUUCACACAAACUCGAUACAGUGUAGAAUGUCUCUGCGAUAACACGCAAUUAAUACAACUUUCAACAACGGAUCUCUUGGCUCUCGCAUCGAUGAAGAACGCAGCGAAAUGCGAUACGUAAUGUGAAUUGCAGAAUUCAGUGAAUCAUCGAAUCUUUGAACGCACCUUGCGCCCCUUGGCAUUCCGAGGGGCACACCCGUUUGAGUGUCGUGAAAUUAUCAAAAACCUUUCUUUCUAAAGGGUUUUGGACUUGGAGGCUUUUUGCUGGCUUUUAAGCGAGCUCCUCCCAAAUAAAUUAGUGGGGUCCGCUUUGCCGAUCCUUGACGUGAUAAGAUGUUUUCUACGUCUCGGGUUUGGCGAUGCCUCUUGGGCACCUGCUUCUAACCGUCCGAUGGACAAUGAUGGCGUCCCGGUCACCACCGUUUUAUCGGUUGGGAGGCUUGGCCCACCAAAAAAACCUUGA
rnacentral:rRNA from 1 species